rnacentral:tRNA from 1 species
AGUCCUGCAGUUGUAGAAACGUCAGAUUGCAAAUCUGAAGGCAGCGGGUUAACACCCGCCGGGGCUU